CAGGGAGCCAAGCAAGACGAACAGUGAAGCCACAGCAACAGCUGCAACAGAGUGACACAAAGGGCCAUGAAACAACAGGACAUACGUAUGAGCGGGUGUUACAGCAGCCUGAGUCUCGAGAGAGGAGUCAAGGCCUGGUGUCAGAGGAGAGCAACUUACAUUACGCAGAUAUUCAAGUGUGCAGCCGUCAAUCAGCCCAUGAGCUAAAACACCUGCAUUUAGAAAAUGCUACAGAGUAUGCGACCCUUUGCUUCCCCCAGGCCAUACCUCACUAUGACA